AUUGAACGCUGGCGGCAGGCUUAACACAUGCAAGUCGAGCGGAGACUUCGGUCUUAGCGGCGAACGGGUGAGUAAUACCUAGGAAUCUGCCUAUUAGUGGGGGAUAACGAAUCGAAAGGUUCGCUAAUACCGCAUACGUCCUACGGGAGAAAGGGGGGAGUCUUCGGACCUCUCGCUAAUAGAUGAGCCUAGGCCGGAUUAGCUAGUUGGUAGGGUAAAGGCCUACCAAGGCGACGAUCUGUAGCUGGUCUGAGAGGAUGGCCAGCCACACUGGAACUGAGACACGGUCCAGACUCCUACGGGAGGCAGCAGUGGGGAAUAUUGGACAAUGGGGGCAACCCUGAUCCAGCCAUGCCGCGUGUGUGAAGAAGGCC
rnacentral:rRNA from 1 species